CCCUUAGAUGUUCUGGGCCGCACACGCGCUACACUGAAGGAGGCAGCGUGUACUCCUGGAUCGAAAGAUUUGGGUAACCCGCGAAUCUCCUUCGUGCUAGGGAUUGAGGUUUGCAAUUAUCCUUCAUGAACGAGGAAUUCCCAGUAAGUGCAAGUCAUAAGCUUGCGCUGACUACGUCCCUGCCCUUUGUACACACCGCCCGUCGCUACUACCGAUUGAAUGAUUUAGCGAGGACUUCGGACUGGGACCGAUGCGGCUUUCGGGCUGCGUCGGUAUUCUGGAAAGAUGUCCAAACUGUAUCAUUUAGAGGAAGUAAAAGUCGUAACA
rnacentral:rRNA from 1 species